rnacentral:tRNA from 1 species
GGGGUUGUGGCUCAGUGGAAGAGCGCUCGCCUGGCACGUGGAGGGCCCUGGGUUCGAUCCUCAACACCA